rnacentral:rRNA from 1 species
UACAGAGGGGGCAAGCGUUGUUCGGAAUUACUGGGCGUAAAGGGCUCGUAGGCGGCCAACUAAGUCAGACGUGAAAUCCCUCGGCUUAACCGGGGAACUGCAUCUGAUACUGGAUGGCUUGAGUUCGGGAGAGGGAUGCGGAAUUCCAGGUGUAGCGGUGAAAUGCGUAGAUAUCUGGAGGAACACCGGUGGCGAAGGCGGCAUCCUGGACCGGCAUUGACGCUGAGGAGCGAAAGCUAGGGGAGCAAACGGGG